rnacentral:rRNA from 1 species
UACGGGGGGGGCAAGCGUUGUUCGGAAUUACUGGGCGUAAAGGGCGCGUAGGCGGCCUGCUAAGUCGGAUGUGAAAUCCCUCGGCUCAACCGAGGAACUGUAUCCGAUACUGGCGGGCUUGAAUCCGGGAGAGGGAUGUGGAAUUCCAGGUGUAGCGGUGAAAUGCGUAGAUAUCUGGAGGAACACCGGUGGCGAAGGCGGCAUCCUGGACCGGUAUUGACGCUGAGGCGCGAAAGCUAGGGGAGCAAACGGG